rnacentral:rRNA from 1 species
GCCUAUUGGCUUUCUUGCCGGUUCUCAAAAAGCUAGGCAACACUGGGAUUGGUUAGUAUUUGGAUAGGAGGCUAUUUAGAAAUGCCAGGUGCUGUAGGCU